rnacentral:rRNA from 1 species
UACGAAGGGGGCUAGCGUUGCUCGGAAUCACUGGGCGUAAAGGGUGCGUAGGCGGGUCUUUAAGUCAGGGGUGAAAUCCCAGAGCUCAACUCUGGAACUGCCUUUGAUACUGGGUAUCUUGAGUAUGGAAGAGGUAAGUGGAAUUGCGAGUGUAGAGGUGAAAUUCGUAGAUAUUCGCAGGAACACCAGUGGCGAAGGCGGAGCUUACUGGUCCAUACGUGAACGCUGAGGUGCGGAAAGCGUGGGGAGCAACAGGG